ACAUGCUCCGGUCCCAGCAUUACCUGUCCUACAGGACAUCAGUGUGGAACUGCAUACACAGAAACUGAUGUUGCUGGAAUUAAGUCUACAUCUUUGGUCAGAUCGUGCGCACCUUCAUCUCAAUGUGGCUUCAAUGGCAGUGUGGGCAUACAACAAGGACGUAUCAGGAUGAGCACUUCAUGUUGCAACACUGAAAACUGCACUCCUAAUCCUCCCACAUUGCCAACAAUAAGCUCUACCCCCAAUGGACUGGUCUGCAGAUACUGCGCAUCCGCUGACUCCACCUGGUGUUACACCGAUGAUACAGUACAAUGCACUGGGGAUCAGAAUAUGUGUCUUCUCCAGACAACUCAUGUGUCAGGAUCAAAGUCAGCCUCAACAGCCAUCCGAGGGUGCGCAACAAAGUCUAUCUGUGACCUUGGCAGCCACUCCACAAGUGCUGGAGGAGUUACAACCGAUGUUAAGUUUAUUUGCACCAACAGUGGCCUUAGUGUCCAUAACAUUUUCCUGACUCCGGCCAUUGUGUGUCUUCUACUGCUGAAA